GUGGAGCUUGGUGACGAGAGCGGUGGGGGAGUGCUCUGGCCAGCCCUGCUGGGCGGGCAGUCCGGCCCCGGUUCACCCGAGCUUAAGCCUUGCAGCAAGAGAACUUCCACCUCGUUCUCCUGGCUUCAAGCCUCACUGUACAUCAGACCAGAGGCACGGAAGGGAGGGAGGAUGCGAGAUGACCGGCCCUUUGGCAACCUGACCAUCUCCUUAGCAGAGCCUUCGAAAGCCAGCUUGAGGCUGACUGCACGACCAAGGAGGCGCUGCGCCUCUUGUGGAUGUAUAUGUGUGAGUGUGUGAGUGUGUGUGAGCGGUUGUGAGGGUGUGUGUUUGCAUCACGACUGGGUGUGUGCCUGUCCGGAUGAGUGCACGAGUGCACGCGUGAGUGUGUGUGUGUGUGUGUGUGUGUGUGUGUGUGUGAGUGCUCUCGGUUUUUAUUUUUUUGGAAGAAAAAUCUUGGGCAGGUUACUGUACUCCUAGGGUGGUGGUUCUUCUGCAAGAGGAGUUGACCAGACCAAGCUACUAGAGACGUUUUUUUGGCGAGUAAAGAGAAUUUACUCCGAGAACAAGAGGGAUUUUUCCCCUGGCUCUGCAGCCCACAGAAAGAGAUUAGCCCCUACACCUGUGAAAUCAACCAGAGCCGUGUGGUUACCAGGGCUUGUGUGAGGACUCGGGAAGAAAAGGAGCAAUAAAUCCAACAGCCUGUCAGUGCCUUUGGCCACAUUAGAAGAUGUCAUCUCAAACUAAGUUCAAGAAAGACAAAGAGAUUAUCGCCGAAUAUGAAGCCCAAAUAAAAGAACUUUUGGUUACAACAACAAAAGCCAGCUGAAGCCGGUGGUGGUGAAAGUGGAGUUUUUUGGAAAGAUGCAAGAUGAUCUGUGGAACCCAGGACCUCGAAGCUAACAAUUAGCUGAUCAUCUGGCAAGCCAGUGAUUGAUUCAGUUGUCACCCUGUUUUAGGAACUUUUGCAUUGGAACAGAAGCCACAAAUGCCU
rnacentral:lncRNA from 1 species